AUGAGUCCACUAUACCUUACUAUAUGCGGUAUUUACCUGCCGUUCCAAGUAAAUUUGUAUGUGCCAAACUCUAAACCUUCAAAUGAAAUUCUGUUUUGUAUGCUCGAGCAGCUCAUGUUACAACUAGGGCUGCCUAUAUCUUCCAUGCUAGGUGGGUUAUUCUCAAGAGGAGUGGACUCCGCUCCUCAUUCACGAGAAAGGGCCGGUAACCGGGAUGCCCAGUCCCAUGAUCCAAAAAUAUCAAAGCAAAUCAAAAUAAUUAAACAAAACUCCCCCAGGGAUGUUGUAUGUUGGAGGCACUCGUUGUUUCGAGCAAGCCAUGGAUUGAUGCUUGUUGGUGGUUGGGGGAGUAUAAACCUUUACCAUUCUGUUUGGGGACUGCCUAUAAUGCAUGUAGUAUGA
rnacentral:rRNA from 1 species